rnacentral:ncRNA from 1 species
UUAUCGGAGAGUUUGAUCCUGGCUCAGGACGAACGCUGGCGGCGUGCCUAAUACAUGCAAGUCGAGCGGAUUGAUGGGAGCUUGCUCCUUGAUAUCAGCGGCGGACGGGUGAGUAACACGUGGGUAACCUGCCUGUAAGACUGGGAUAACUCCGGGAAACCGGGGCUAAUACCGGAUAACUCAUUUCCUCGCAUGAGGAAAUGUUGAAAGAUGGCUUCUUGCUACCACUUACAGAUGGACCCGCGGCGCAUUAGCUAGUUGGUGAGGUAACGGCUCACCAAGGCAACGAUGCGUAGCCGACCUGAGAGGGUGAUCGGCCACACUGGGACUGAGACACGGCCCAGACUCCUACGGGAGGCAGCAGUAGGGAAUCUUCCGCAAUGGACGAAAGUCUGACGGAGCAACGCCGCGUGAGUGAUGAAGGUUUUCGGAUCGUAAAGCUCUGUUGUUAGGGAAGAACAAGUGCCG